CCAGACUCCUACGGGAGGCAGCAGUGGGGGAUAUUGCACAAUGGGGGAAACCCUGAUGCAGCGACGCCGCGUGAGUGAAGAAGUAUUUCGGUAUGUAAAGCUCUAUCAGCAGGGAAGAAGAUGACAGUACCUGAGUAAGAAGCCCCGGCUAACUACGUGCCAGCAGCCGCGGUAAUACGUAGGGGGCAAGCGUUAUCCGGAUUUACUGGGUGUAAAGGGAGCGUAGACGGCUGUGCAAGUCUGAAGUGAAAGCCCAGGGCUCAACCCUGGGACUGCUUUGGAAACUGUGGAGCUAGAGUGCUGGAGAGGUAAGUGGAAUUCCUAGUGUAGCGGUGAAAUGCGUAGAUAUUAGGAGGAACACCAGUGGCGAAGGCGGUCUGCUGGACAGCAACUGACGCUGAGGCGCGAAAGCGUGGGGAGCGAACAGGAUUAGAUACCCCCGUACUC
rnacentral:rRNA from 1 species